UCAAAAAAGAAUCCACAGCUAACCACAAAUAAUGUCUUGCUAUGUUGCCCAGGCUGGUCUCAAACUCUGGGGCUCAAAUGAUCCACCCAUCUUGGCCUCCCAAAGUGCUACGUGUGAACCACUGCACCUGGCCAAAAAUAUUUUACUAAGAAAAAGGAGUCACCUAUUGUAUGAUUCCAUUUAUAUGAAAUAUCCAAAAUAGGCCACAGAUCAGCCCUGGGGUUCAGAGGGAUCCUGACGGCUACUCCUCAAGAUCCUCUCUGUUGUGAUUCAUCCCCCCCGGGCCCUACAGUUUCUCCUUCCUGACUCUUACAUUUCUUUGGAUGGCAUCAUUAUUUACCUGUCUCCUCCCAUAGUUAGGUGCCAAGCACUGUGGAUUCUGCCCCUCAGUGUCCAGACACCCAUUUUCCUUCCCACUGUUCCUUCCCCAUGGAGAAGCCUGUGGCUGGCUGACAGCAGAGAGAGAUGCUCAACUUGGAGAAGGUGUUACCUGGGCCAGGUGGGGAAGGUUUGUUUGCAGAGCAAAGAAGUGAAGGAAGUAUUAACCCUUUGCAUGGCCUCCUGAGAAUCCGACAAGACGUAAAUAGCCAAGAAUAUCUGUGGAACUUAAUCACUGAGUUACAGUAUUUAUCACUGCAAGUGUGUUGUUCAUUGACACUAUAAAGCCAUGUGGAAUUAAGCAGCCUUGAAACACAAAAUGGAGAAAGGCUGAGAGCUGAGAAUUGUUGCCUUCAGGAAAAUACAAUCAAUGUCAAGCAAACAACCACCCCAAAAUGGUUAGCUUUAUCAGCAUUCAGGCCUACAGUGAAAG
rnacentral:antisense_RNA from 1 species